rnacentral:snoRNA from 12 species
UUGUCCUGGCCCCUGCUUUCCCUGCACCCUGUGCUCAGCCCUAACAGGGCAUGUGUGGCAGGACACACAGCAGUCUCCCUCUCAGUUUAGGAGGCCAUCCUAAGUAUAGAGCUGGCUCUUAAAGGCACAAAAGGACAAU